rnacentral:rRNA from 1 species
AAGGAAGGCGGGGGGCAUGCCUUACACAUGCAAGUCGAACGGCAGCAUGACCUAGCUUGCUAGGUUGAUGGCGAGUGGCGAACGGGUGAGUAAUGCAUCGGAACGUGCCUUUUAGUGGGGGAUAACGUAGCGAAAGUUACGCUAAUACCGCAUAUUCUCUGAGGAGGAAAGCAGGGGACCUUCGGGCCUUGCGCUAGAAGAGCGGCCGAUGUCGGAUUAGCUAGUUGGUGAGGUAAAGGCUCACCAAGGCAACGAUCCGUAGCGGGUCUGAGAGGAUGAUCCGCCACACUGGGACUGAGACACGGCCCAGACUCCUACGGGAGGCAGCAGUGGGGAAUUUUGGACAAUGGGCGCAAGCCUGAUCCAGCCAUGCCGCGUGAGUGAAGAAGGCCUUCGGGUUGUAAAGCUCUUUCGGCUGGGAAGAAAUCGCACCCUCUAAUACAGGGUGUGGAUGACGGUACCAGCAUAAGAAGCACCGGCUAACUACGUG